GUCUAUAGCCAUGCUACCCUGAACAAGCCCGAUUCCGUCUGAUCUCGGAAGCUAAGCAUGGUCGGGCCUGGUUAGUACUUGGAUGGGAGACCACCUAGGAAGACCAGGUGCUGUAGGUG
rnacentral:rRNA from 1 species